rnacentral:rRNA from 1 species
GGAGCUAACGCGUUAAGUAGACCGCCUGGGGAGUACGGUCGCAAGAUUAAAACUCAAAUGAAUUGACGGGGGCCCGCACAAGCGGUGGAGCAUGUGGUUUAAUUCGAUGCAACGCGAAGAACCUUACCUACUCUUGACAUCCAGAGAAGCCAGCGGAGACGCAGGUGUGCCUUCGGGAACUCUGAGACAGGUGCUGCAUGGCUGUCGUCAGCUCGUGUUGUGAAAUGUUGGGUUAAGUCCCGCAACGAGCGCAACCCUUAUCCUUGUUUGCCAGCGAGUAAUGUCGGGAACUCCAGGGAGACUGCCGGUGAUAAACCGGAGGAAGGUGGGGACGACGUCAAGUCAUCAUGGCCCUUACGAGUAGGGCUACACACGUGCUACAAUGGCGCAUACAGAGGGCAGCAAGCUAGCGAUAGUGAGCGAAUCCCAAAAAGUGCGUCGUAGUCCGGAUUGGAGUCUGCAACUCGACUCCAUGAAGUCGGAAU